GGCAGGUUGGCCGAACGGUAAGGCCCGGGGUCCAUCUGGACAAACCCCGGCGGCAAUGUGUGCGUGGACGGGUAGUCCAAGCACUCUGAACCGGAGCGGGUUCAAUUCCCGCACCUGCCU
rnacentral:tRNA from 1 species